rnacentral:misc_RNA from 1 species
UGAGGAGGAAGGCUCACAUAAUUCACAUUGGGUUUGAAUGAGAGAACUACAAUUCGAAGAGGAGAGAGAGGGGAAAGGGGAGAGGAAAGGAAAGGGGGAGAGAAAAAUCAUUCUGGGUAACUGCAGCCAGGAUCAUCACUUUUUCUUUUUUCAGUUUUACACUUAAUUCCACCUAUCAAUAUGUCAUAGGAUUGCCAUAUAACUAGAAUCCUAGUUGGUAUCAUGGUGGCACUCUAUAAUUUCUACAAGAGACUUCGCUACGACUUGGUCGGGGCAGUAGCAUCACAGGGAAUCGAUCGACAGGCGUGUAAAAUCACACCUGUGUAAAAAAAUAAGGCAAAAGCUGUCACGUA